rnacentral:rRNA from 1 species
UGUUCGGAUUUACUGGGCGUAAAGCGCGCGCAGGCGGAUCAAUAAGUCAGAUGUGAAAUCUCGGGGCUCAACCCCGAAACUGCGUCUGAAACUGUUGAUCUAGAGUUAUGGAGGGGAGAGCGGAAUUUCGCAUGUAGGGGUAAAAUCCGUAGAGAUGCGAAGGAACACCAGAGCCGAAGGGGGCUCUCUGGCCAUUAACUGACGCUGAGGCGCGAAAGCGUGGGUAGCAAACAGGAUUAGAUACCCUGGUAGUCCACGCCGUAAACGAUGAGUACUAGAUAUUGGGGACUUUGACCUCUUCAGUGUCGCAGCUAACGCAUUAAGUACUCCGCCUGGGAAGUACGGUCGCAAGACUAAAACUCAAAGGAAUUGACGGGGGCCCGCACAAGCGGUGGAUUAUGUGGUUUAAUUCGAAGCAACGCGCAGAACCUUACCUGGGCUUGAAAUUCCGAGAAGAUCGACCAAAAUUGAUUGUGCUCUUCGGAGAACUCGGUGACAGG